rnacentral:lncRNA from 1 species
GAAGAUUGUCAUAAUUUAUAUUUCAUAUUUAAAUAAGAAGAAUAAGAGUUAAAAGUAAUGUCUGGAGUAACCACUUGUCUGCAGUAUUUAAUCAGAGUAGGAGAAACAAUCUCUUGAAUAGAUGUGCAAGUGACUGCCUCUCCAAGGUGCCAUUCAAGAUAUUCAAAGGGAUAGGAUCAGGUUAAGUAUGGAAUAACAGAGGCAAGAUAGAAAUGCACUUGGAGGUAACUCAUUUUAUAUACAUGCAGCUGAGAAGCAUGUAUAUAAAAAACCAGGUGCAUCAAAAACCCACUGUCAUUGUUUCCUUUUUUUUUUUUUUUGGUAGCAUCGAUUGACUAAAUGUCUCUAGAGAAGAAAUGAGAGGAGUAAAAUCUGUGAAAAGAAUGUAACAAGGUCUAUAAAAUCCCUCCAGACUAACUGGGUUUAUAAUCUAAAUUAGAUUAACAAGGUCUAUACUUGAUGGAGGUUUCAAUUAGGCAAGAUCAAUUAUAACAACUGCACAGUCUCCACAACUUAAGAGGGGCAAAACCGUAUUAUACCUAAGUUACAUGUAACUAUAAUUAAUUUACCUUUCAUGGCAAGACUCUCAGAGACAGUAAAAUCUGACAACAGUAUUUUGGCAUCUUAAGAUUUCACAGAUGCUAUUUUUAUGAAUGUACUUGAGUUCCUAAUAGACACUUAUCCAUAUAAAAAUAUAGAGCUAAAUUGUAAGUAAUUUUUUUUCAAUUCAAGACAGCUAGAUAAAGGAACUGGCCAAUUGUUUUGCUUGCUUAAUCAUCUUUUUUUAUGCUUUGUGAAAGGAAUUCAUGGGAAUUAUAUCCCUUUCAAAGGCAGAAAAUUGUUUCACUUUAUUCCUUAUUUCUCUAUAAAUCAUAAUCUCUAAAAACAGAGGUUUCUCCCAUACUUAGAAAAACCUAAAGAAUAUGUUCAGUCAUACGUGAAUCUUUUAAAAAAAAAUUGAUCCUGUAUAUACAAUUGCAUUUCAAGGAGCUAUUCAAGAUUUAUACCAAUUUUCUA